UACGUAGGUGGCAAGCGUUAUCCGGAAUUAUUGGGCGUAAAGCGCGCGUAGGCGGUCUUUUAAGUCUGAUGUGAAAGCCCCCGGCUCAACCGGGGAUGGUCAUUGGAAACUGGGAGACUUGAGUGCAGAAGAGGAGAGUGGAAUUCCAUGUGUAGCGGUGAAAUGCGCAGAGAUAUGGAGGAACACCAGUGGCGAAGGCGGCUUCCUGGUCUGUAACUGACACUGAGGCGCGAAAGCGUGGGGAGCAAACGGGAUUAGAUACCCGU
rnacentral:rRNA from 1 species